rnacentral:snRNA from 1 species
AUCGCUCGGCCUUUGGCUAAGAUCAAGUGUAGUAUCUGUUCUUAUCAGUUUAAUAUCUGAUACGUCCUCUAUCCGAGGACAAUAUAUUAAAUGGAUUUUUGGAGCAGGGAGAUGGAAUAGGAGCUUGCUCCGUCCACUCCACGCAUCGACCUGGUAUUGCAGUACCUCCAGGAACGGUGCACCACCU